GCCUCUGUAGCUCAGCGGACAGAGCAGAAGGUUUCUACCCUUCUGGCCGCAGGUUCGACUCUUGCCAGAGGCA
rnacentral:tRNA from 1 species